rnacentral:lncRNA from 1 species
AGGUGUUCUUGGUCUCAUCAAACAAUACUUACUGUGAUGUCCCAACAGAUUACAAUGGUGGAAAAUCUGGUGCUUUGUUGAAAUACACCCCACUUCCUAAGCCACCAGCAGCUACUUCUCUCCCUGUUAAACUCCCCACAUUUGAUGUCUUCACUGUUGGACCUUUUGGUUUCGAACCCUCAAAGAAGGUGCCAUGCAAAAAGUAACUUGCAUGGGAAAUUAGAAAGAUAGGAAGGAAAAAUUAAUUAUGUGUUGAAGAAAGACGAUUAUGUACCUGUUUCCUGUGUUCUUGUUAUUAUUUUAUUAAUAAAUGAAGCAAAGAGGAAAGAACGUAGUUUUCUUGUUUUCCUAUUUUGUUUCUCUCUAUCAAAACCCAACAAGUAAAAUGGAUUUAUAAGUUUUUCUUCUAUGUUUG